UCCCGGUGGGGCGGCCGCCCUCGGGCUGGCGGAGGCGCCGGAGGAGCCCCCGAGCUGCAGCCGUCUCCCUCGGGCUGCUGCCGGUGCUGCGGGCGGAGGCGGCUCCGCCGCGUGUUGGGCGCUGCGAGCAGGGAGCGCUGCGGUAUCGCCGGCAUGACGGGGCUGCUGCCUGCGUUAGUGCUCGUGGCUCUUUGUGCCGUGACAGCGGAUGGAGCGGCGCUGAGCGGGACACCCAGAGAUGGCCGGGAGAAUGCCCAGCGCAGGGAGCGGGCGGGCUGUGUGCUUCGGAUGGCACAGGUGCGAGCUGCAAAGCCACCCCCCCUUCCGCCCCUGCCCUCCCGAGCCCCAGGGAAAAUGCUUUCCAGCAUUGUCGAGCUUCUGAAAGACAAAACUUGUGAUUUGACACUAGCAUCCAGAAAAGGUUUCUGUCUAGAUUAGCAAAUGCCUAAAUUGUUCUUGGUUACAUCCCAUGACCGGUUUUAGGCAGUGACUUCAUACUGCUUUUAGGAUUUUCUUGUACACUGGUGAGAAAAUAGGCAGGUCUGAUAGUGGUUUCACUUUUUUUCUACUUCACGUUCCAUAAGAUUCUUUUAUCCAAGCGAUUGUUUUAAAAUUCUACUGUAAGCGUUUGUGGUUCACUUUUUUUUUCUUUGCAGCACCCGGGCCUUUUUUUUUUUCUCUAAAUCGGGAGUAAAUAUAGCUGAGUAAAAUUACCUUGGUUAUCUUCCUUCUUUUUAAACUUAAUUGUUUUUAUUAAUAAUUCUAUCUGAAUAUGCAGAAAAAGUGAGUAUGUCCUGUAAUCUAUGCUAGCUUUUCUCGUUUACAGGGUACUCACAAAAUAUGUCUCCCUUAGUGUCCCACGGAAACAUUCUGGGUGCAAUCUGAAUUAAGGUAUGUGUUUUCAAAUAAGUAAUCAGUUUAGAUAUUUGCCUGUGUACCUUUUCCUGUAAUUCAGAGCUUGUGUUCUGUGGGUUUUAUGAUAAACCUGUAAAACAUGUAAGAAUGGUUUUGCAAGUCUGAAUCGUUGAAGGCAGCAAUAAGUGGAUUUAAAGCCUGUUCUUGAGCAGACAAAGGGGAAAAGUGUGACUCUGAUGCUGAACUUGUCAUUUUUCAUUUGACUUGCCUUUAAUUAUUGAAGAAGAGAGAGAACUAGGAAAAGAAAUAGAAUUGAUUAUUGAGCACUCCUAAAAAGCUCACCAUGAUUCUGUGUAGAGCCAAAGUGAAGGAUGAUGGAACAGAGCUCUGUGCAUUAGAAGGAAAUAAACCUGAUGUCCACACAGAGUCUUACUAAUUUCUGUUUUUAAAAUGCAAAAUAAGUUUAGGAAGUGUUGGAAGUUAGUAUUUUGGGAAAGAAAUGGCAGUUCCACAAAACAUUCCAUUCCAUUUAAGAGAGGCCCUUGGACUGAUUCAUGUUGUAACUGCUGUCACUGCAAUCAGUUGGUGGUUCAGCCUUGAAACGUGCACUUGGCCUUCUAUAAAGCACUGUUUUGUUUGCCUUUCAGUGCUAUGAGUCUUGAUAAAUUGGAGAAGUGCCCAAGAGAAAUUCAUCAUCCUGAGAUACAAAAGGUAGGAAGUGACUUUUUCUGGUUUGGUUCUUUUUCUUUAUUGUUUUCUGGAAAUAGAAGUAAUUAAGUAUAGAUACUACUGGUUUGUUUCUUCCAGUAGCUGAUAAUACUAAUACCAAUAAUAAUAAUAAUAAUAAUAGUAAAGUAAUACUACUUCAACUGUCUUUAUUUAUCCAUUGAACUGGCCAUUUUAAAUCUAAACUUCUAAACACAAAUCAAACCAUCAUCCUUGUAGAAUCUUUAAUAGGAGUGGGCUAAAGAUCCUGGUUUUGUUGACAGGAUUUAUUGGUUCAUGAACAGCAAGAGGUAAGUACAAGCCUAACUACCCUCUAGCUCACAGACCUGCCCGGUGAAUAGAGCUUUGUUUUUUUGAUGGGCUUGUGAUGACUUUGAGAUCAAUUGCUCAUUCAUUACAGUAAAAAAAAAAAAAUUGUUUUGAGCAUGACAGCAAAAAUAACUUUAAGCACAACUUAAUAAUAAUAAUAGAUCACCAAUUUUAGUUAAUAAUUUUAUGCUAUACUCUUGGGUGAGGGAAGACUCGGACACUCAAUAUGAGAUCAGCAAGCUAUGUUUAUUGCAGAGAGUAUCAGACACUUAUACAGCACAUAAUAAGCUUAUGAAUAUUCUGUAAGCCAAGCGAUCUAUUGGUUAAACUAUACCAUCAACUCUUCCUCAUUCCUUUGGGCCUACAUUCCCUAUUUCCCACGUCUCUCUGUCUACUUGUUAUCCUACCCAGCUAGGCCCAGGCACACGCUAUCUUGCAGGUGCAAAACUCAAAAAUACCUGUGUUCGGUACUUUCCCAGCUCCUGGUCGGCUAACGAGCGAAUGUCUGCGUGACCUCUGUCAUGGAGCCAUUUCUCCACACUAUACUAUCAAAGUUUAAAGGUAAAUUAUUAUAUAUUAGGAGAUGGUGUAAAGUGUAUGUUGUAAUGUGUAGGAUAUAUACAAAGAUACGUACUUGAAAGUCCGUAGAGGAAACAAAUUUUUACGCCUUCUGUUUGACUGUUUGUCAUAUAUUUGGUUUUAUUUCCCAGGGAUCAGUGAAUUUUAACUCUGGAGUCCUCUAUGCUAAGGAUGCUCAGCUUAGAGAUGAUGAAAUGUUCAGUAAUGUAUUUGCUGCAGCUCUGCUUACCCAAGCUUUGGGUUCCCUCUGUCUCACUGGGAGUUGCCCAAUUCAGUUGCAUCUGGUGAAAUUCACCCUGAGACCUUACAGAACCAGCUCCAACUACGUGAGAGCCAUUUGCAGUUCUCUCCAGACACCUGGAGAAUGGGCGACAUUUCUGAGAAUCCGGCGAGCGUGCUUCUAUCAAAACUCAGUCUGUGAAAUUCCUGGGGAAAACCCUUCUGUGUCCUGAAGGGUUCAAACUCUGGUGAGGAUCCAGUUAUCAGGUGCUCACCUGGAUGGUUCCAGCUCUUAAAGUGAACACUUGUACUCUUGCCCUGUAGUUUACAUCUAUUGUAUUUUUGUUAUUUUGCAGGAUUUUUUGUCUUUGCAAAAUAUUGUGCAUUUCACUCUUUGGAACCUCUCAGAUGGUUCUCUGGUGCAGCACCACCCCAGGGGACACUUGCCUGCUGUCCUGAAGGGGUUGGUGGCUAGAAUUGUGAAUCCUGGAGAGUUUAUAAGUCUUCUGUCCCCAGGGAGGUGUCGUGCUUUGUUUACUUUUGUUCUGUUGGUUAGGCGCUGCUUCUCGUUGCAAGUACGAAUUUCAAACUGCCCUGUUCUUAUUUUAACUAUUUUCCUGGUUCUCUCCCUACGGCAGGGAAAGACUCUCGUAUCCUUGUCAUCGGGCUCGGUGCUGUCCAAGAAGAUACAGAGACUAAAAAAAUCAUAAGAAGCAAAAUAUGACUGCAGGGAAAAGAAGCUGGAGAGAACAGAAGGUGAUGUUGUUAUCCUUACCCUGUAUUAGAAACAUCCGCUGUGCUUUGAUGCUGGCAGCUGCCAGGGGCUUGUUAGCUCUUUGUAGGCAGGUGUAGGUGUUCACUUGUAGGUUUUUUCUCUGUUCAAGUCAAUUCAAACUUUGCUAAGCUUAUAUUUGCAGAUUACUCUCUAGCACAGUCCAGCAUGACAUUUUUGAAUGUUGUAAAAAUACCAUGUUACUUGGAAAUUGCUAAUGAAGAGAAGAUUUAGGGGAAAAUAAGAUUUCAGGGUUGGAAGAUGUGAGAAGAAUUUUGUGGGGACGUUAGACUGAAGUAAAGCACACUUGAAGCUGGACUGGCACGCUGGCAGGUCCCCUAUUAAACAGUAGUGCUGACAUUAGCCUGGGGGUUGCCCAUUGUUUCUGUAGAAAUCAAUGUUUCCUGGUCUUCAGAGGUAAGCUGCUUUGAAAAGCUGGAAGGUGCAGCAUGCUGACAAUCCCCGUGCUUUGGAUUAAAAGUAGAUUUCAGAAGGGUCCUAAGCUUUUGUCUUUUCCUAGAAGUCGAUGUAAUCCUAUCGAGGAGUUUUUAGUUCUGUGUUGCCAUGUCAUCCAUCAGAGCCCUGUUGUACUAAUCAUCAUACAAGUACAAAACAAAAAAUCAGACCCUGUCCCAAGCACUUAGAGGCCAGAACACGAUUUCCUCGGGCUGCCGUUUGUGUGCCAUCGGUACUCACCACGAAUUGAGCCCUCUGGCUCUGACAGAGCCCCUGGAUGCUGACGGAAGGGGGCUGGUCACAGACCCUGGAGGUGCCUGUCCCCCAGGGAGGGAGAGGCCGAGGCAGUGUGGCCUGCAGGGAGGGUGUCGUCCCCAGAGAGCAGCCGGCGACUCCAUGCCUGCCCGGGGCUGCGGGUGCACCCUCGGGGUGGACGCCUGCCCUCAGGUUUCCCUCUGGGCACCCGGGGAGGGAACCAGGUCCAUCCGUGUGGCAGCUGCAGGGCCUGCAGGCUCUGGGCCCUGGAGCCGAGUGAGCCUGAGCUGCUGCACGCUUGCUGUGAGCUUUGGGGUGAGCGUGCAUCACUGCAGGCCUGGGAUGGAUUGAAAUGCGCUGAGGAAAGCAGAGGGAGGGAGGGAAAUGCUCUGUUAACAUGUGCCAAUUCUUCUGUCAGACUCAUCACGGCGGGACAGCGUGAAGACUGAAAGUGUAAGAAGAUGUGGAGGGAAACAGAGAAUCUGACAGGAGCAUCGGAGGGACGAGUGCACGAAUUUUGCUUUUUGCUUGGAUGUAAACUCAGGAGUUGAGAGGAAUUUGGGAGUGAGAAGGGACAUCUCAGAAGGAGAAGAAGAAAAAGAGGUUGUUGUUGUUACAGUCCUGGCAAAAUCUUUUGUUCUAGCUAAUAAAAGAAGUUAGUUUAAAAAACAAAAAGGAAAAAAUGUAGUGUUUUUUUUUUCCUUCACUAUGAUAUUCAUUGGUGGUAUAUGGUGUGUUGUUUCAUUUCUUGGUAUUAUUAACUCUGUGUAAAUUGUUUUUUGAGUGAAGCUGACUUUCUGGAUGGGUUGGUUUGUAUUUGAGGCAGGAUUAAUUUCAGUAGGGUUCUUUCAUAGAUUUCUGAUGGGUAUUACUGGGAUUUUGGUUUUGUUUACUGUAUGUAUGAACCUAGAGCUUUGGUAGGGCCAGCUGGGCUGCUGGAGUUUUGGGUGUGAAUUUAUUAGAUGGCUUUUGUUAGAUGCAGUUUUUAAUUUUUGAAAUGUUUUUCAAUGUAGUGGUUUUAAGGUGGUUUUUAAGAAUUCAUUGUAUUGCUUUAUCUUGUUUGUAGUUGGUGUAUGAUAAGGGAUGUGGUGUGAGUUCUUGAACAUUAUGGUUUUGGUGUUCCUAAGUUCUGAUUUCUUUGUGGUUCAAUAGCUUUUUUUAUUUUUAUUUUUUGGGACAGGGGCAUUUAUAUGGUGGGUUUUUAUAGGCAAUAUGUUUUUUAAUUUAGGUAGUGAUAUUUUUUAAUAUUUUAAUAGUUUAGGUUUUUUAUUUUCAUGGUUUUAAUUAUUUUUUUUAAUUUUUUGAAAUAACUUUUAUAGAUUACAUGUUAUUAUUUGUGCAUUAACAUAAAGGUAGAGCUUUGGGGACUUUUUUUAGUAAUGUUUAGGGUCAGUUGUGCAGUUUUGAGUCUAGUGCGUUGGUUUGAUUUAAUUUUUAAUGGGUGUUUGUUUUUAUUAGCAGUUGUGUCAUUUUCAAGGUGUGUUUGAGUUUUUUGGGGUUUUUGAGAUACUGGUUUAGGAGGAAGUUUAUGAUGAGCAUGUGCGGAGGUUUUGGGCUACUUUAUAGUGGGAUUUAAAAUUUAUUUACAGUUAGGUUUAUUUGAGUUUUUAUUAGGGUUCAGUGACGUUGUGGGAUAUUUGUUCCGUUAGUAACAGAAAUAGGUUUUGUUUUGCUGUGCUGCGAUGGGAUGGGCGUGUGCUGCGUGCCGGUGCUGACAAAGGUACAGUAUUGUUGUGGCUCUGGUGCGUCGGGUUAAUGAACUGACAUGGUUUAAUGUAGAGAUGAAAAUAGAAAUAAAUAUACAUUUAAAAAUAAAUAUAAAAUUAGAGUGGUAAACAUAAAUAUAGAUAACAGAUACAUACAUAAAACUAUAAUAUAUGGUAUAUAAUUGUAACAUGUUAUCAUAUAGAUAAAUGAUAGUCUAUUUUAUAUAUAUAUACACAAAGAUAUAUAAAUAUAGAUUGUAAAUAUAAAAAUAUUUAAAUAGAGUUAAAGUAAAUUGGGCAGUUUUAUUAGGGUAUAGGCUGGGGUUUUUAAAUGAUAGCAAUAAAAUAUAAAUUCAGAUAUACAAAUAUAUAUAGAAAUACAAAUAUCUAUACAUAUUUAAUUUAAACAAAUAUAAGUAAGAAAAUAUGUAUAAUACAGAAAAUAUAUUUCUAUGAUUAUAUUAGAAGGUAUUCCCUCUAAUAUAGAUAAAAUCUAUGCAUAAAAUAAAUAAAAAUAUCCAUAUAAAUAUCAUUAUAAUUUUGAAAAAUAAAUUUACUUCGUAAAUUUUAAAUCUGGUUCAAAUAAAGGGGUGUCCUUGGUUUUUAUUUGGUUAGAGGCAGGAGUUUUAUUUUAAAUAAUAUAAGCAAUAUAGAAAUGUGGAUCUUAAGAUAGAAAUAUAUAAUAAAUAUAUAAAGAGAAAUUGCUAAACUAUGAAUAUAAAUUUAAAUAUAAAUAUAUGUAAGUAAUAUGAGGAGUUGUGGCAUGGAAUAUAAAUAACAUUAAAUGGCAAUAUAAAUUAUAAAUGGGAAUAUAAAUAUAAAAAUAUGUAAAUAUAGUUUAAAAGAAAUGGAAUGUUUUGGCUUUUAUUUAAGUAGAGGCAGGGUUUUUAAUUUGAAUAUUAUACGUGUUCCAGAAGUAAAAAUCUUGACGCAGAAAUAUUUAAUCCAUAUAAAAAUAUGAAUAAAAAAAUAUAAAAAAUAUAAAUACCUACUCGCAUCGGAUGUAAUAUAGAAUAUAAAUUUAUUUAUAAAUUGACAUUGGUAAAGAUAAAUAUAUAAGUAAGCAAUAUACAUUAAUAUACAUUAUAAAUACAAAUAUGAAUAUAACAAUUGAACAUUAGGAUAAAAUCUAUUUAAAUAUUUUUUAAAAGAAAGGGUUCGGUUUUUUUUUAUUGUUGUGUUAGAGGCAGGGUUUUUAUUUUAAAUAGUAUGAAUGUAGAUAUUGUUAUAUAUUUCUAAAUAUUGAGAUAUACAAUCAAGAUAUAAAUAUAUAUAUAAACACAAAAUAUAAAUAAAUACAAAUAAUAGGAAGUGAUGUAAUGAAGAAUACAAAUAACAGUAUACAUAAGUAUACAUUUUAAAUGUAAAUGUGAAUAUGAACCUGAAAAAUAGAAUUUUAUAAAAUAUUUAAGUACAGUUUGGAAGAAAGGGGUUCUUUUUGGCUUUAAUGUGGAUGGAGGCAAAGGUUUUAUUUUAAAUAAUCCAAGUGUUACCGAAGUAAAAAUCGUAACAGAAAUGUAUACUUACUAUGUGAAAAUAUUUAUAAAAAUAUACAAAUAAAUUUAAGUUUUAGGGAUAUAUGCAAUAUGGAAUAGAAAUGUAUUUAUAAAAAGAAAUGUAUAAAUGGACAGUGUACAUCAAUAUACGUUGUAAAUAGAAAUGUGAAUAUUAAUAUGAAAAAAUAUUUUAAAAAAUAUUUAAAUAUUUUUUUAAUAA